GCCGCUCAACGCCUGCCUGGAUCGUUGCCAUGCUGUCAAAAUCAUCUGCCGAACACGUUCGUUACACAAAACAUCGGCAUUCCCUUCGAGCCAGUUUUCGGACCAUUUCACCUGUGGUGACGGUCGUGAAGAAGCCGAGAUUACCGCAGCGAUCAGCUCGUCCCGCUUCUCGCCGCGAUAGUGGAGCAUGUAACAGCAUCGGUGGUCGUAAUCAUCGCGGCAGGUAGGCUAAGAUGAAAAGGGAAAGGCACCACACACACAAGCAGCAUUAACGAAAAGAUACCGCAGUGCGUAAAUAAACAAUCCCCAGGUCCAGCGCCUGUGGCCAUCUUGGAUGGUUUGAUCCCCCGAGAGAUGUGCCUGCAAUAGACUCCAGACUUAGUGACCACCGGGUGGCUUCUUUCGAUAGUGUUACUGAAGCCGAAACCAUUACCCCCCUACACAACCCGUAUAGUCCUCACCUAACACCCGCCAGUGUCUUAAUGAGUACAUUUUUCGUCCAAUUUGCUUUUGCAAAACCGGUACAAACGGACGUUUCGUUGUCAUGGGAUCUCAAAAACGCGCCCAAAUUGCGCAAUCUAAUCACCUUGGAAUGGAAUGGUGUUCGAAAAUGUAGUUCACAUGUGGGGCUGGUCGGUUCGGGAUCUUUUGCCGCAGGGCGGAUGACCCAUUACCGUCGGUUAAGUGAUCCUCUCCAACCAUCCGUCGUCACUGAAAAGCGGGAUCCUUUAAGACCCGCUCACGUAAGGCCGUUUGUGUGGUGUUUUGGAUGAUCCAAACGACGGUCUAGGGAACAAGUGGCAGUGGUAAGCAAAAGUAACAGCCGCUCCCCUCCAAUGCCGAGCCUGCACAUGAAUGGGGCGCAAAAAAAAGGCGGCCGAUAGAAAGGAAGAUUGUCUUGGAAGGUUUACGCACCGUACGGAAUGAAGGGCAACGACAGACCCUGAGCCUACUGAGCAAUUUGCAUCAGUUUGAUGCGCACCGUGGCUAGCUGUGACGAACCAGCGUUCAUUAGACACUUGUUUCAUGCUUAUCGUGCCAUGUCAUCGUGACUUCUCGCGUUGCGUGUAGUACUCCAUGUGCUCAGCCUAAAGUGUUCCAUCGCACGUGUCGCCCACGCCCGUUCAAUUGAUUAUAUAGAGAGGUAUGAAGAUAACAGAAAAAAACACA